rnacentral:rRNA from 1 species
CCCUUAGAUGUCCGGGGCCGCACGCGCGCUACACUGAAGGAAUCAGCGUGGCUUUCUCCCUGACCCGAAAGGGUUGGGAAACCCGUUGAAUCUCCUUCGUGAUAGGGAUUGGGGCUUGAAAUUGUUCCCCAUGAACGAGGAAUUCCCAGUAAGCGCGAGUCAUAAGCUCGCGUUGAUUACGUCCCUGCCCUUUGUACACACCGCCCGUCGCACCUACCGAUUGAAUGAUUCGGUGAAGAUUCCGGACCGUGUUGUCACCGCUUCACGGCGGUUUUGACGUGGGAAGUUAUCUAAACCUCAUCAUUUAGAGGAAGGUGAAGUCGUAACA